rnacentral:lncRNA from 1 species
UACUACCAACAUUUCCACUACUAGGUGUAGGUGGUAUCUCAUCUGCUAUUCCAAUUUCAUUAUCUUCUAUUCCGUAAUCUUCUUGUAAUUGUUCAUAAUUAAUAUCUACAUCUUGCAAAUUAGGCGAUGAUUUAGAAAAAUGUGUUAUUGGAUCAUUACUAUUACUACCAGAAGCUACAGGACUACCUCUUUUUUUACUUCCACCCCUACCAGUAACUUUUCUACACGCUCUUUUAGCAGCAUUAN